rnacentral:rRNA from 1 species
UAAGGAAUAUUGGUCAAUGGACGUAAGUCUGAACCAGCCAUGCCGCGUGGAGGAUGAAGGUCCUCUGGAUUGUAAACUUCUUUUAUCUGGGACGAAACACUUCUUUUCUAAGAGGCCUGACGGUACCAGAUGAAUAAGCACCGGCUAACUCCGUGCCAGCAGCCGCGGUAAUACGGAGGGUGCAAGCGUUAUCCGGAUUCACUGGGUUUAAAGGGUGCGUAGGUGGGUAGGUAAGUCAGUGGUGAAAUCCCCGAGCUUAACUUGGGCACUGCCAUUGAUACUAUAUAUCUUGAAUACCGUAGAGGUAAGCGGAAUAUGUCAUGUAGCGGUGAAAUGCUUAGAUAUGACAUGGAACACCAAUUGCGAAGGCAGCUUACUAUGCGGUGAUUGACACUGAGGCACGAAAGCGUGGGUAGCAAACA